UUGAACGCUGGCGGCAGGCCUAACACAUGCAAGUCGAGCGGCAGCGGAAAGUAGCUUGCUACUUUGCCGGCGAGCGGCGGACGGGUGAGUAAUGUCUGGGAAACUGCCUGAUGGAGGGGGAUAACUACUGGAAACGGUAGCUAAUACCGCAUGACCUCGCAAGAGCAAAGUGGGGGACCUUCGGGCCUCACGCCAUCGGAUGUGCCCAGAUGGGAUUAGCUAGUAGGUGGGGUAAUGGCUCACCUAGGCGACGAUCCCUAGCUGGUCUGAGAGGAUGACCAGCCACACUGGAACUGAGACACGGUCCAGACUCCUACGGGAGGCAGCAGUGGGGAAUAUUGCACAAUGGGCGCAAGCCUGAUGCAGCCAUGCCGCGUGUGUGAAGAAGGCCUUCGGGUUGUAAAGCACUUUCAGCGAGGAGGAAGGGGUUGAGUUUAAUACGCUCAAUCAUUGACGUUACUCGCAGAAGAAGC
rnacentral:rRNA from 1 species